GGGUUGUGAGGUUAAGCGACUAAGCGUACACGGUGGAUGCCUAGGCAGUCAGAGGCGAUGAAGGGCGUGCUAAUCUGCGAAAAGCGUCGGUAAGCUGAUAUGAAGCGUUAUAACCGACGAUACCCGAAUGGGGAAACCCAGUGCAAUACGUUGCACUAUCGUUAGAUGAAUACAUAGUCUAACGAGGCGAACCGGGGGAACUGAAACAUCUAAGUACCCCGAGGAAAAGAAAUCAACCGAGAUUCCCCCAGUAGCGGCGAGCGAACGGGGAGGAGCCCAGAGUCUGAAUCAGUUUGUGUGUUAGUGGAAGCGUCUGGAAAGUCGCACGGUACAGGGUGAUAGUCCCGUACACCAAAAUGCACAGGCUGUGAACUCGAUGAGUAGGGCGGGACACGUGACAUCCUGUCUGAAUAUGGGGGGACCAUCCUCCAAGGCUAAAUACUCCUGACUGACCGAUAGUGAACCAGUACCGUGAGGGAAAGGCGAAAAGAACCCCGGCGAGGGGAGUGAAAUAGAACCUGAAACCGUGUACGUACAAGCAGUGGGAGCACCUUCGUGGUGUGACUGCGUACCUUUUGUAUAAUGGGUCAGCGACUUAUAUUUUGUAGCAAGGUUAACCGAAUAGGGGAGCCGUAGGGAAACCGAGUCUUAACUGGGCGUCUAGUUGCAAGGUAUAGACCCGAAACCCGGUGAUCUAGCCAUGGGCAGGUUGAAGGUUGGGUAACACUAACUGGAGGACCGAACCGACUAAUGUUGAAAAAUUAGCGGAUGACUUGUGGCUGGGGGUGAAAGGCCAAUCAAACCGGGAGAUAGCUGGUUCUCCCCGAAAGCUAUUUAGGUAGCGCCUCGUGAACUCAUCUUCGGGGGUAGAGCACUGUUUCGGCUAGGGGGCCAUCCCGGCUUACCAAACCGAUGCAAACUCCGAAUACCGAAGAAUGUUAUCACGGGAGACACACGGCGGGUGCUAACGUCCGUCGUGAAGAGGGAAACAACCCAGACCGCCAGCUAAGGUCCCAAAGUCAUGGUUAAGUGGGAAACGAUGUGGGAAGGCACAGACAGCCAGGAUGUUGGCUUAGAAGCAGCCAUCAUUUAAAGAAAGCGUAAUAGCUCACUGGUCGAGUCGGCCUGCGCGGAAGAUGUAACGGGGCUAAACCAUGCACCGAAGCUGCGGCAGCGACACUUAGGUGUUGUUGGGUAGGGGAGCGUUCUGUAAGCCGUUGAAGGUGACCUGUGAGGGUUGCUGGAGGUAUCAGAAGUGCGAAUGCUGACAUAAGUAACGAUAAUGCGGGUGAAAAACCCGCACGCCGGAAGACCAAGGGUUCCUGUCCAACGUUAAUCGGGGCAGGGUGAGUCGACCCCUAAGGCGAGGCUGAAAAGCGUAGUCGAUGGGAAACAGGUUAAUAUUCCUGUACUUGGUGUUACUGCGAAGGGGGGACGGAGAAGGCUAGGCUGGCCGGGCGACGGUUGUCCCGGUUUAAGCGUGUAGGGGGAGUGACCAGGUAAAUCCGGUUGCUUAUCAACCCUGAGGCGUGAUGACGAUGCACCACGGUGCAGAAGCAGUUGAUGCCAUGCUUCCAGGAAAAGCCUCUAAGCAUCAGGUAACAUUAAAUCGUACCCCAAACCGACACAGGUGGUCAGGUAGAGAAUACUCAGGCGCUUGAGAGAACUCGGGUGAAGGAACUAGGCAAAAUGGUGCCGUAACUUCGGGAGAAGGCACGCUGGCGUUAGGUGAAAGGACUAGCUCCUGGAGCUGAAGCCAGUCGCAGAUACCAGCUGGCUGCAACUGUUUAAUAAAAACACAGCACUGUGCAAACACGAAAGUGGACGUAUACGGUGUGACGCCUGCCCGGUGCUGGAAGGUUAAUUGAUGGGGUCAGCCGCAAGGCGAAGCUCUUGAUCGAAGCCCCAGUAAACGGCGGCCGUAACUAUAACGGUCCUAAGGUAGCGAAAUUCCUUGUCGGGUAAGUUCCGACCUGCACGAAUGGCGUAAUGAUGGCCAGGCUGUCUCCACCCGAGACUCAGUGAAAUUGAACUCGCUGUGAAGAUGCAGUGUACCCGCGGCAAGACGGAAAGACCCCGUGAACCUUUACUAUAGCUUGACACUGAACAUUGAGCCUUGAUGUGUAGGAUAGGUGGGAGGCCUUGAAGUGUGGACGCCAGUCUGCAUGGAGCCAACCUUGAAAUACCACCCUUUAAUGUUUGAUGUUCUAACUCGGCCCCAUGAUCUGGGGUGAGGACAGUGUCUGGUGGGUAGUUUGACUGGGGCGGUCUCCUCCCAAAGAGUAACGGAGGAGCACGAAGGUUAGCUAAUCACGGUCGGACAUCGUGAGGUUAGUGCAAAGGCAUAAGCUAGCUUGACUGCGAGAGUGACGGCUCGAGC
rnacentral:rRNA from 1 species